AUCUUAUUUUUAGGUAAACUCUACACCCAAGGUGGAGCUUGAACACACAACCUUGAGAUCAAGAGUUGCAUGCUCCACCAAAUGAAUCAGCCAGAUGCUCCUGAAUCUCUGCUCUCAAU